AAUAUUGCACAAUGGGGGAAACCCUGAUGCAGCGACGCCGCGUGAGCGAAGAAGGCCUUCGGGUCGUAAAGCUCUGCUCUAAGGGAAGAAACGGACGGUACCUCAGCAGGCAGCUCCUCCUAACUACGUGCCAGCAGCCGCGGUAACACGUAGGGGGCGAGCGUUAUCCGGAAUUACUGGGCGUAAAGGGUGCGUAGGCGGCCUUUUAAGUCAGAUGUGAAAGGCUACGGCUUAACCGUAGUUAGCAUUUGAAACUAGAAGGCUUGAGUGCAGGAGAGGAGAGUGGAAUUCCUAGUGUAGCGGUGAAAUGCGUAGAUAUUAGGAGGAACACCAGUGGCGAAGGCGACUCUCUGGACUGCAACUGACGCUGAGGCACGAAAGCGUGGGGAGCAAAC
rnacentral:rRNA from 1 species